UACAGAGGGUGCAAGCGUUGUUCGGAAUUAUUGGGCGUAAAGCGCGUGUAGGCGGCCUGUUAUGUCGGGUGUGAAAGCCCUCAGCUUAACUGAGGAAGUGCACUCGAAACUGGCGGGCUUGAGUACCGGAGAGGAGAGCGGAACACCCGGUGUAGUGGUGAAAUACGUAGAGAUUGGGAAGAACACCAGUGGCGAAGGCGGCUAUCUGGACGGUUUCUGACGCUAAGACGCGAAAGCGUGGGGAGCAAACAGG
rnacentral:rRNA from 1 species